AACCUUAAGCAAGGAUUUGUCUGUUGGAUAUAGGGAUUGAGGCAGCUCAGGAUAAUUAUUGAUCUACCUGCUGCCCCAUAUGAGGAACAUUGAGUCGCUUUUGUUACUUUCCAGAAGGAAACUGAUAAUAAUCUACCAUCUUGUUAGGAGCAUUGCGGUGAAGAAAUUCAUCGUGCAUGAGGACGAGCUUCUUGUUUGAGACUCGUGUCUUUGUCUUGUUACGGCCAGAUAACAAAUUGACUAGUAGUAGAUUAUUAUCAGUUUCCUUCUGGAAAG
rnacentral:misc_RNA from 1 species